rnacentral:lncRNA from 1 species
UUAUUAGUGUUUUUUAGUUAUGGACUGCGACUCUGAAAUGCCAAUUUGUGCAAAUUUCCUAAUGCUUAAUAAGAAAUUUAUCACUUUGUCAAAAAAAUGGAGAAGAAAUUAUCAGUGGCGGCGUUGGGUGGAGUUGAAUGAGAGGGGACCAAUCCCCUGGAAAGAAUCGAUAGGGAAUUAGCGAUCGAUUCGGGAUAAGAGCAUGGAAAUUAGUGGAGAGGUAACGGAUUCCCCUAAUCACAGAAUUGAGUGAGGCGUUCAAGGAAGAGGGAUGAGGAUUCGAGAAGAAAUCGUUGGCAGGAGAAGACCGCAACGGCAGCAGCGGCGCGUGACAGCUCGUCAGCGGACUGGAUGUGGCGGUGGACCUUUGGGAAAUCCCAGGCUGUGCUCUCGACCGAUUGGUGGCGGAAAUCAAGGUUCAAUUAAGAUUGCAGAUCCGUCGGAAUAUGGAAAGGUCUCGACAGCGGCGACUAGGUACGUCGGAGAAGAAAAGGUGACGUGGCUGCAAUUCCUGGAAAACUCAGUGAUCAUUCUGCAAAGUUCAGAACGAUAAGUGAUCUCAGUGCAACUUCGGUAAUGUUCGUGAAAUUAAUGGUAUUUUCCAGAAAGUUGAGAGUAACUAAUCCACAAUUAGUUAUUUGUGCAGAGACUAACCUGGAAAGAUAGAAAUUCGAUGGAUUGAUUUUGUAAUUUGCCAAAGCAGGCAACGAAUUGACAAUUUUGCCCCUGCUAGUUUAUGCUUGUUGCAAUGAAGUAAUUGGAGCAUAACACAGUUUGACCUUUAAACGAUGUACGGUCAAGAGCUGUGGAUUCGUGGAAGCAAGAGGAAUCACCUCAGGUCCGAUUUAGAGAUGUGAGCUCAUAUAUGAGAUGGGGGUUCUUGUUUACAUUCUUGUUUGGCCAAGUAAAAUUGUAUGAUAGUUCUAUUGUGGUGUUUUUGUCUACUACCAUGAAUGUAGCUUGUGACUUGUGAAAUGCUUUGGAAUUGAUGUCCUCUGUGAUGUUAGAGCUUGGUGCUCAUUGAUGGAUGUAUGAUAACACGAGUUUCGCUAUGCCUUAACUAUAGUGUAGCAUUAUUAGGCUAGAUUAGUUCUUAUUUGUGAUGUGUGUUGGCUACUUACCCUCGGGUUGUGCAAGCCCUUAUAGGUGUGUGAUGUGCUUAACGGACAUGUAGAGUAUGUUAGAGAUGUUGCUCAUACGGGUUUGGUAGCUUCAUAAUAUGAUCUACUAUGAGGCUUCCCACUUGAAAGCAGAGGUGGUUGGCAUUAGGUAGAAAUGAAUACUUAUUUGCAGGACCAAUAUGAUCACAUUAAUAGAGC